CUCUGCCUCCUGGAUUCAAGCAGUUCUACUGCCUCAGUCUUCCGAGUAGCUGGGAUUACAGCCACCCUCAUGACCUGCUAACUUUGCAGCCACAAGGAGCACGUGGCUAGUCCCUAGAGUACCAUUUGUAGGAGCUACCCAGGAGAGCUGUCUGACCAGCACCAUCCAUGCAGGACUUGGUGUAAGCAAGAAGUAAACUUUCAUUGUUAACCCACUGAAAAUUAAGGUUUUAUUUAUUGCCGGAGCAAAUCCCAGUGUACCCUAACGAAGACAUCCUGAAACAUCCAUAAUGGGUAAAAGGCCCUCCAGGCGGUGGGAAGGGGAGCAAGUUAGUGGAUGGCGUAUGAAGGAAGAGGCUGGGAAGGACAAAAGGAUUACAAAGUGUCAAACAUAAACAUACAAUCAGAAGAAUCUGGUGGGUGAACUCAGGGUUCUGAGUUUUAGGCAUCUUUGUGGGAGAUAUUUCUGGAAUGAGAAAGAUGGUGCCCAUGAGUUGGUGGGGAAGAUAGCUCAGAAUCAGAGAAGAACUGGCAAUCCCUCGCCUGGCUAACUGGAAAUUUAGUCAAGCAGGGCAAAUACAUCCUGAACUCGCACCGCCCCUCUUGAAACCUGCAGACUGAGGACAUCAGCAUGCAUGACCCUGUGAGCCUGGCGUCCCAAAUGUUCAAUCUCUGAAUACUGCUGUGUUCAACAAGCCUAGUUUCACAGAACAACAGCAUAAAAUAAAAUAAAGAAAUUCCAUUCUUUACUCACA